rnacentral:rRNA from 1 species
CCUACGUGAGGCAGCAGUGGGGGAUAUUGGACCAUGGGGGGAACCCUGAUCCAGCGACGCCGCGUGAGUGAAGAAGUAUUUCGGUAUGUAAAGCUCUGUCAGCAGGGAAGAAAGAAAUGACGGUACCUGACCAAGAAGCCCCGGCUAACUACGUGCCAGCAGCCGCGGUAAUACGUAGGGGGCAAGCGUUAUCCGGAAUUACUGGGUGUAAAGGGAGCGUAGACGGUUAAGUAAGUCUGGAGUGAAAGGCCGGGGCUCAACCCCGGGACUGCUCUGGAAACUAUUUAACUUGAGUGCAGGAGAGGUAAGCGGAAUUCCUAGUGUAGCGGUGAAAUGCGUAGAUAUUAGGAGGAACACCAGUGGCGAAGGCGGCUUACUGGACUGUAACUGACGUUGAGGCUCGAAAGCGUGGGGAGCAAACAGGAUUAGAUACCCGUGUAGUC